CAUUUACAUACAUGGAUUCAGGCAAGACAGUCAUCCACAUAAAAUGAAAAUAAAUAAAAUCUUUUUUUUUUAAUUGAAACAGGACAGGUGUGGUGACACGGGCCUUUAAUCCUAGUACAUAAUGGACAGGCCAACCUAGGCCACAUGGGUUUGCAGUAAAAGUCAAACUAAUACAGCCCAAAAGCUGCUGCCUGCCAAGAAAACCAGAAGCUGGCUUGAUAAGUUUGUUCGCAGAGAUCAUCUAUGGGGACUGGACAAACCAGCCUCGAAUGGGAAUCCACAACAACUCGAUAACGACAAAGAAAUGGCGAAAAGUCCUCAGAGCUGCAGGAGGGAUUUGUUGAAACUGCUAAUUUUGGGAGACCUGUUUUUGACCGUGUGUGAGAGAAGAAGGCACUCACUUGAAG
ensembl:lncRNA